CUCCCUACAUGAGCAAGAUAGGAUGAGGUAAAUGAAACGAAAACAAUGUACUUGAAAGUAAUUGUCUCUUAUCUGUAUUCAUCGAUUUUUUUUUUGUGAAAAGGCAUGACAGUAGUUUGCUUAUCAUGUGAAACAUAAUGGUACAUUUCAGACAAACUCCAGACCAGCCAGUGCAUUGACAGCCGAUAUUGCGUUAGCUAACUGGCCUCUGACAUUCAUCCUAGCUUUACUAUCAACUAGCUAGCUUUAUCAGGCAGCUUUAGAUGUGAGGGCAAAACAAAUAUAUGUGACCCGAUUCAGGAAACUGGGCGUAUGUCGAAAGUCACAACUUCCCAGGAGAGCCGUUUGAACGUCUGCAUUUAAAAAAAAUCCAAAUGUGUUUUGGCAGUAAUGCCUUCUCGAACAGGCCACACCAAGUUUGCUCCCGACUGGUGCUUCAGCCUCAUCAAGCAGCGCUUCAGAAAGACCAGAGUGAACACUUUGUGUUAGAUUGCUGGUGUUGUGAAGGACAACACUGUGACAGGGGUUAACAUCCCACAGCUGGUGGAGAGGGAGUAAGAUUACUAGAAAGGAGCAAGCUGCCAGACCACCAAAGGACCCCAGUGGUAUCACAGUCAAUGUUUAUGAACUGUAUUUGAAUUGCUCAUUUAUAUCAAUGACACUAACAAAAUGGUUUGAUCGUUCAGCAACGUGCAGUAAAUGCUAACACGGCUUUGGUGGUGAAACGUACAUAAUGUAUUCAUUGUCAUCUCCCUAUCAGGCCACUGCAUGCUGUAACACAUCUGCUACAAGCUGCCUGCCUGAAUACUGGGGCCUUCAGUGGUUCAUUCCCUUUAAUUACAGCAAGAGUCUUCUUAUCUCUAUCUCAUAGCCAUUUAACAUGUACUGUAUGUAACCACUCAAAUUCAUGGAAACUGCUGCGAAUACAAUGACUGACUUAUAUUCACUUGUCCCUGGCUGCGUUUAGACAGGCAGCCCAAUUCUGACCUUCUUACUUUGGCUGCCUAUCUAAACGCAGCCUAUUUGUCCUAUUCUUAAGUCUGGGAUAUAUAUUUCAGUUGGCACACCUGUGUGAUGUCCUUUAUACAUAAAACAUUUUUUCACCCUGGA